GGACCGGUAGUUCAGUUGGUUAGAAUGCUGCCCUGUCACGGCAGAGGUCGCGGGUUCGAGUCCCGUCCGGUCCG
rnacentral:tRNA from 1 species